UUUCAAAUUGAGAGUUUGAUCCUGGCUCAGGAUGAACGCUGGCGGCGUGCCUAAUACAUGCAAGUCGA
rnacentral:rRNA from 1 species